UACACUCCUGCGGGAGGCAGCAGUGGGGAAUUUUGGCCAAUGGGCGAAAGCCUGAUCCAGCAAUGCCGCGUGAGUGAAGAAGGCCUUCGGGUUGUAAAGCUCUUUUGUCAGGGAAGAAACGGUGAAAGCUAAUAUCUUUUGCUAAUGACGGUACCUGAAGAAUAAGCACCGGCUAACUACGUGCCAGCAGCCGCGGUAAUACGUAGGGUGCAAGCGUUAAUCGGAAUUACUGGGCGUAAAGCGUGCGCAGGCGGUUUUGUAAGUCUGAUGUGAAAUCCCCGGGCUCAACCUGGGAAUUGCAUUGGAGACUGCAAGGCUAGAAUCUGGCAGAGGGGGGUAGAAUUCCACGUGUAGCAGUGAAAUGCGUAGAUAUGUGGAGGAACACCGAUGGCGAAGGCAGCCCCCUGGGUCAAGAUUGACGCUCAUGCACGAAAGCGUGGGGAGCAAACAGGAUUAGAUACCCUGGUAGUCC
rnacentral:rRNA from 1 species